GGUUAAGCGACUAAGCGUACACGGUGGAUGCCCUGGCAGUCAGAGGCGAUGAAGGACGUGCUAAUCUGCGAUAAGCGUCGGUAAGGUGAUAUGAACCGUUAUAACCGGCGAUUUCCGAAUGGGGAAACCCAGUGUGUUUCGACACACUAUCAUUAACUGAAUCCAUAGGUUAAUGAGGCGAACCGGGGGAACUGAAACAUCUAAGUACCCCGAGGAAAAGAAAUCAACCGAGAUUCCCCCAGUAGCGGCGAGCGAACGGGGAGCAGCCCAGAGCCUGAAUCAGUGUGUGUGUUAGUGGAAGCGUCUGGAAAGGCGCGCGAUACAGGGUGACAGCCCCGUACACAAAAAUGCACAUGCUGUGAGCUCGAUGAGUAGGGCGGGACACGUGGUAUCCUGUCUGAAUAUGGGGGGACCAUCCUCCAAGGCUAAAUACUCCUGACUGACCGAUAGUGAACCAGUACCGUGAGGGAAAGGCGAAAAGAACCCCGGCGAGGGGAGUGAAAAAGAACCUGAAACCGUGUACGUACAAGCAGUGGGAGCACGCUUAGGCGUGUGACUGCGUACCUUUUGUAUAAUGGGUCAGCGACUUAUAUUCUGUAGCAAGGUUAACCGAAUAGGGGAGCCGAAGGGAAACCGAGUCUUAACUGGGCGUUAAGUUGCAGGGUAUAGACCCGAAACCCGGUGAUCUAGCCAUGGGCAGGUUGAAGGUUGGGUAACACUAACUGGAGGACCGAACCGACUAAUGUUGAAAAAUUAGCGGAUGACUUGUGGCUGGGGGUGAAAGGCCAAUCAAACCGGGAGAUAGCUGGUUCUCCCCGAAAGCUAUUUAGGUAGCGCCUCGUGAAUUCAUCUCCGGGGGUAGAGCACUGUUUCGGCAAGGGGGUCAUCCCGACUUACCAACCCGAUGCAAACUGCGAAUACCGGAGAAUGUUAUCACGGGAGACACACGGCGGGUGCUAACGUCCGUCGUGAAGAGGGAAACAACCCAGACCGCCAGCUAAGGUCCCAAAGUCAUGGUUAAGUGGGAAACGAUGUGGGAAGGCCCAGACAGCCAGGAUGUUGGCUUAGAAGCAGCCAUCAUUUAAAGAAAGCGUAAUAGCUCACUGGUCGAGUCGGCCUGCGCGGAAGAUGUAACGGGGCUAAACCAUGCACCGAAGCUGCGGCAGCGACGCUUAUGCGUUGUUGGGUAGGGGAGCGUUCUGUAAGCCUGCGAAGGUGUGCUGUGAGGCAUGCUGGAGGUAUCAGAAGUGCGAAUGCUGACAUAAGUAACGAUAAAGCGGGUGAAAAGCCCGCUCGCCGGAAGACCAAGGGUUCCUGUCCAACGUUAAUCGGGGCAGGGUGAGUCGACCCCUAAGGCGAGGCCGAAAGGCGUAGUCGAUGGGAAACAGGUUAAUAUUCCUGUACUUGGUGUUACUGCGAAGGGGGGACGGAGAAGGCUAUGUUGGCCGGGCGACGGUUGUCCCGGUUUAAGCGUGUAGGCUGGUUUUCCAGGCAAAUCCGGAAAAUCAAGGCUGAGGCGUGAUGACGAGGUACUACGGUGCUGAAGCAACAAAUGCCCUGCUUCCAGGAAAAGCCUCUAAGCAUCAGGUAACAUCAAAUCGUACCCCAAACCGACACAGGUGGUCAGGUAGAGAAUACCAAGGCGCUUGAGAGAACUCGGGUGAAGGAACUAGGCAAAAUGGUGCCGUAACUUCGGGAGAAGGCACGCUGAUAUGUAGGUGAAGUCCCUUGCGGAUGGAGCUGAAAUCAGUCGAAGAUACCAGCUGGCUGCAACUGUUUAUUAAAAACACAGCACUGUGCAAACACGAAAGUGGACGUAUACGGUGUGACGCCUGCCCGGUGCCGGAAGGUUAAUUGAUGGGGUUAGCGGUAACGCGAAGCUCUUGAUCGAAGCCCCGGUAAACGGCGGCCGUAACUAUAACGGUCCUAAGGUAGCGAAAUUCCUUGUCGGGUAAGUUCCGACCUGCACGAAUGGCGUAAUGAUGGCCAGGCUGUCUCCACCCGAGACUCAGUGAAAUUGAACUCGCUGUGAAGAUGCAGUGUACCCGCGGCAAGACGGAAAGACCCCGUGAACCUUUACUAUAGCUUGACACUGAACAUUGAGCCUUGAUGUGUAGGAUAGGUGGGAGGCUUUGAAGUGUGGACGCCAGUCUGCAUGGAGCCGACCUUGAAAUACCACCCUUUAAUGUUUGAUGUUCUAACGUUGACCCGUGAUCCGGGUUGCGGACAGUGUCUGGUGGGUAGUUUGACUGGGGCGGUCUCCUCCUAAAGAGUAACGGAGGAGCACGAAGGUUGGCUAAUCCUGGUCGGACAUCAGGAGGUUAGUGCAAUGGCAUAAGCCAGCUUGACUGCGAGCGUGACGGCGCGAGCAGGUGCGAAAGCAGGUCAUAGUGAUCCGGUGGUUCUGAAUGGAAGGGCCAUCGCUCAACGGAUAAAAGGUACUCCGGGGAUAACAGGCUGAUACCGCCCAAGAGUUCAUAUCGACGGCGGUGUUUGGCACCUCGAUGUCGGCUCAUCACAUCCUGGGGCUGAAGUAGGUCCCAAGGGUAUGGCUGUUCGCCAUUUAAAGUGGUACGCGAGCUGGGUUUAGAACGUCGUGAGACAGUUCGGUCCCUAUCUGCCGUGGGCGCUGGAGAACUGAGGGGGGCUGCUCCUAGUACGAGAGGACCGGAGUGGACGCAUCACUGGUGUUCGGGUUGUCAUGCCAAUGGCACUGCCCGGUAGCUAAAUGCGGAAGAGAUAAGUGCUGAAAGCAUCUAAGCACGAAACUUGCCCCGAGAUGAGUUCUCCCUGACCCUUUAAGGGUCCUGAAGGAACGUUGAAGACGACGACGUUGAUAGGCCGGGUGUGUAAGCGCAGCGAUGCGUUGAGCUAACCGGUACUAAUGAACCGUGAGGCUUAACCUU
rnacentral:rRNA from 1 species